rnacentral:rRNA from 1 species
AGAACGAACGCUGGCGGCGGGGUUUAGGCAUGCAAGUCGCGCGAGAAAGGGGCAACCCGAGUAAAGCGGCGUAAGGGUGAGUAAUAGGUAGCCAACGUACCCUGGAGACGCGGAUAAUUCCCCGAAAGGGGUUGUAAUACGCGAUGAGACCACGUGCUGUCCGCAGCAUGAGGUCAAAGGUCGGGGAUCCUUCGGGACCCGGCGCUUUGGGAGCGGGCGACCUCCGAUUAGCUAGUUGGUGUGGUAACGGCACACCAAGGCGAUGAUCGGUAGCCGGGCUGAGAGGCUGUCCGGCCACACUGGCACUGAGACACUGGCCAGACUCCUACGGGAGGCUGCAGUCGCGAAUCUUUCACAAUGGGCGCAAGCCUGAUGAAGCCACGCCGCGUGCGGGAUGAAGGCCCUUUGGUUGUAAACCGCUGUCAAGGGAGGGAAACGCACGUCGUGAAUAGCGCGUGUUUGACUGCUCUCUAAAGGACGCCCCGGACAAAACAUGUAACCAGCAGCCGCGGUAA